rnacentral:rRNA from 1 species
AAAUGAAUUGACGGGGGCCCGCACAAGCAGUGGAGUAUGUGGUUUAAUUCGAAGCAACGCGAAGAACCUUACCAGGGCUUGACAUACAGAGGGAUAUGGUAGAGAUAUCAUAGCUCUUCGGAGCCUCUGUACAGGUGGUGCAUGGUUGUCGUCAGCUCGUGUCGUGAGAUGUUGGGUUAAGUCCCGCAACGAGCGCAACCCCUGUUGUUAGUUGGUAACACGUAGAGGUGACCACUCUAACGAGACUGCCGGUGACAAAUCGGAGGAAGGUGGGGACGACGUCAAAUCAUCAUGCCCCUUAUGUCCUGGGCUACACACGUACUACAAUGGCUACAACAGAGGGAAGCUAAGCCGUAAGGUGGAGCAAAUCCCCAAAAGUAGUCCCAGUUCAGAUUGUGGGCUGCAACUCGCCCACAUGAAGUAGGAAUUGCUAGUAAUGGCAGGUCAGCAUACUGCCGUGAAUACGUUCCCGGGCCUUGUACACACCGCCCGU